GACGAACGCUGGCGGCGUGCUUAACACAUGCAAGUCGAACGGAAAGGCCCUGCUUUUGUGGGGUGCUCGAGUGGCGAACGGGUGAGUAACACGUGAGUAACCUGCCCUUGACUUUGGGAUAACUUCAGGAAACUGGGGCUAAUACCGGAUAGGAUCUCCUGCUGCACGGUGGGGGUUGGAAAGUUUCGGCGGUUGGGGAUGGACUCGCGGCUUAUCAGCUUGUUGGUGGGGUAGUGGCUUACCAAGGCUUUGACGGGUAGCCGGCCUGAGAGGGUGACCGGCCACAUUGGGACUGAGAUACGGCCCAGACUCCUACGGGAGGCAGCAGUGGGGAAUAUUGCACAAUGGGCGGAAGCCUGAUGCAGCAACGCCGCGUGCGGGAUGACGGCCUUCGGGUUGUAAACCGCUUUCGCCUGUGACGAAGCGUGAGUGACGGUAAUGGGUAAAGAAGCACCGGCUAACUACGUG
rnacentral:rRNA from 1 species